GGAGAAUUCAUUAAAGAUGGCCUCUACUUGUAAGCUAUCACUUAGAGAUGGGCCUGCGUCUGAUUAGCUAGUUGGUGGGGUAACGGCCCACCAAGGCGACGAUCAGUAGCCGGUCUGAGAGGAUGAACGGCCACAUUGGGACUGAGACACGGCCCAGACUCCUACGGGAGGCAGCAGUGGGGAAUCUUCCGCAAUGGGCGAAAGCCUGACGGAGCAACGCCGCGUGAGUGAAGAAGGUCUUCGGAUCGUAAAGCUCUGUCGAAGGGGACGAACGUAGUGCCUAUCAACAACGGGCACUAAUGACGGUACCUUUCAAGAAAGCCACGGCUAACUACGUGCCGGCAGCCGCGGUAAUACGUAGGUGGCGAGCGUUGUCCGGAAUCAUUGGGCGUAAAGGGAGCGCAGGCGGGAAAUCAAGUCCAUCUUAAAAGUUCGGGGCUCAACCCCGUGAUGGGAUGGAAACUGGUUUUCUUGAGUGCAGGAGAGGAAAGCGGAAUUCCUAGUGUAGCGGUGAAAUGCGUAGAUAUUAGGAGGAACACCAGUGGCGAAGGCGGCUUUCUGGACUGUAACUGACGCUGAG
rnacentral:rRNA from 1 species